rnacentral:tRNA from 1 species
GCGGCAGUGGCACAGUGGUAGAGUGCUAUCUUCACAGGACUGGGGCCAUGGGUUCGAUUCCCGUUGGUGGCG